rnacentral:lncRNA from 1 species
GUUCAGGUUAAACUGGCACAACCAAGAUGACCAAUAUCUCUGAUAUCCCUCCUGGGUUUGGAAUUUGGAUGAUUUUAGAGAGAAUACCGAGAAGGUGAAUAAGAACAAAUAGGAAUGAAGCACUGGGAAGUACUGGAUCAGAGAUAGAGCUAAAGGAGGAGCUGGAGAGAAAAAGCAUCCCAGGAAUGCGAGUGUGGAGCCCAUAAAGAUGCAGCUGAGUGCCAGAUGAGGUGAUGGAAGGGCAGAGUGGGAAUGGAGCAGGGAAUAGGAAGUUUUGGCAUGUGUGACAUAAGGCUCUGUGGGAUGGGUAGGACAGGAUGUGAAUAGAAAAGAAAGAUGUUUUGGCAGCUUCUGUUGCUGUACAGAGUUCAGCAUCAUUUCUGGCAGCACGCUGGAAAGCAUUUAAAGGCUGAGCUUUCAACUAAAAAUUCUCAUUAAGUAGAGGCCCAGUAACCCUGUCUAAAAGGUUAAAGCAAAAACACCAAACAAGGCAGCAUUUCCUCCACUGAUUUUUAUGUAAGUACAGCUAAUUGAACUGAACUUGGAGGAAAUACUAACUUGAAUUUUUUUUAUUUUCUUUCCUUGAACAGGAACUCAGCAUGAGCUGUUUGUUAGUUUGAAGUUUUAAAAUUUGGAACAACUUUAGUCACUGCUGAACCCAAAUGAGGACCAAACUGAAUAAGUAACAUAUUUAACUGUCUAAGCAGAUGUAAAAAUUAAGCAUCAGUUUGUAACAAUUCUGUUUUCUGCAUUUUUUUUUUGAUCCCACUUUUCAAUUAUCCUGCCCAGAUUUCUUCCAGGCUCCUGCUUUGAGUCAGGUGAUGCUGUAGAUUGUAGAGGACCUUCUGGUGGGAUGAGUUGGACAGAAUUCAUGUUAGAGUUUAGACCAUGUGAAUAGCAUUCUUCAAAGUCUUCUUUUUUUUUUUUUUUGACACUGCUCAAUUGCUGCUUCCAUCCCCACAACAAGCUUCAGGAGGGGUGCAGAGGAAUGGCCUGCCUGCCUUUCACUAGGGAGGAUAUCUCUCCAUGUGGUGCUGUGCUGCAUAAUUGUCAGAUGAGCACUGCUGCGACAAAGCCACUUGGAAAAAACAGCUUGGAUCCUUCUUUGAGCUCACUGAUGUCUCCCUGUGUCUGUAACGCCAAUACCCUCGUGUCUCCAGAGACUGAGGCCCCCUUUGCCAGAGAUCUGCUGUCCAAACCAGCAUGCUGUGUUAUGCCAAUCCAGUGCCUUGUCAGCAUGGCAGACAGCUGUAGUUAG